CAGAGAUUAGCUUGCUAUAAUUGUCAGCUAAGUGGCGCACGGGUGAGUAAUGUAUAGGUAAUAUGCCUCUUACUAAGGGAUAACAAAUGGAAACGUUUGCUAAUACCUUAUACUCCUUAUUAACAGAAGUUAAUAAGGGAAAGAUUUAUUGGUAAGAGAUUAGCCUGUAUUGUAUCAGUUAGUUGGUGGGGUAAUGGCUUACCAAGACUAUGACACAUAACUGGUUUGAGAGGAUGAUCAGUCACACUGGAACUGAGACACGGUCCAGACUCCUACGGGAGGCAGCAGUGGGGAAUAUUGCACAAUGGACGAAAGUCUGAUGCAGCAACGCCGCGUGGAGGAUGACACAUCUCGGUGCGUAAACUCCUUUUAUAUGAGAAGAUAAUGACGGUAUUAUAUGAAUAAGCACCGGCUAACUCCGUGCCAGCAGCCGCGGUAAUACGGGGGGUGCAAGCGUUACUCGGAAUCACUGGGCGUAAAGAGCAUGUAGGCGGAUUAAUAAGUUUGAAGUGAAAUCCUAUAGCUUAACUAUAGAACUGCUUUGAAAACUGUUAAUCUAGAAUGUGGGAGAGGUAGAUGGAAUUUCUGGUGUAGGGGUAAAAUC
rnacentral:rRNA from 1 species